AUUGCCUACGGGAGGCAGCAGUGAGGGAUAUUGGUCAAUGGGGGAAACCCUGAACCAGCAACGCCGCGUGAGGGAAGACGGUUGUCGGAUUGUAAACCUCUGUCCUCUGUGAAGAUAAUGACGGUAGCAGAGGAGGAAGCUCCGGCUAACUACGUGCCAGCAGCCGCGGUAAUACGUAGGGAGCGAGCGUUGUCCGGAUUUACUGGGUGUAAAGGGAGCGUAGGCGGCCAUGCACGUCAGAAGUGAAAACCCAGGGCUCAACCCUGGGAGUGCUUUUGAAACUGUGCGGCUAGAGGGUCGGAGGG
rnacentral:rRNA from 1 species